CAUCCCUUGCUUCCUCACGUCGUUGUCUUCCUCGUACGGCAGCGCAUCGAGCUACUCCAUGUCGCCUGUAUUACGAUGGGACGGCCGAUCCUUCUGCCUCCUCAUUCCUUUAAAACCGGCGCUCACAUGUCCCAUCAAACCCUAGCUCCAGUCCUCUUCCCAGCCGCCGCCACUCUUUCUUUCUCCCUCGUGAUCCAUCCUCCUUCCGACAUCUCUGCUCCUCUCCAACACCGUGCGCGGCGACGCCAAGCUCCACCUCCAAGCCAAACAGCAAAGCAAGCUCGUCUUUGAUCUGCAGCCUCCAGUACGUCCGUCUCGUUGCAGCGCACGCCGGAGCUCCUCUUUGUCGACCUCCGCCUGCUCCGCGACCCUGCUUCUGCAACCCCGGCGCGAACCAUCGGUCGUCUCCGACCACGCCUCCCCAACCUGCUCCACGCGGAAGUCCCCGACGCCGGCCAUGUUCGUCUCGAUGCUUCCUCGUCGAGCAGCGGCAUGUUAUCAACGAUCCAAGGGUGAGCGCCAUGCCGUUCCCGUCUUUUCCAUGUUUUUCAUCCAUGUCCGACUCCGCGCACAGCCUCUGACCGUCGGCUUCCUCUUUCCAUGCACGCGACCGUGGACGAGCUCGAACCUCUGCGUGUUUGCGUUCCACCAAGAUCGUCGUCCGCGUCAGCGCUCGUCGCCGUUCCUCUAUUCGCUGAAGCGCGGCCAUGCAGUGCGUCCUCGCACGCAACGCGCACGCAGCAGCCUUCGUCGUCGCCGGCAGCGGCCUCCUGUAGCUUCCCAUCACGGACGUCGUCGACGGUCGACGUCAUGUACUGCCGGCCUCGCGUCCCUGCUUCAUCAACGGCUGGCCAUGCGCGUCUACCGCGCGCCAGCAUCCGCGUCGCCAAGACCCUUUGGUUGCCAACGCUGCUCGCCGGCAAGCACAGCGCCAUCUCCCAGCUUCUCGGGCCCCGUCAUGCAAGUCCAAGUUUCCGCCUUGGACUCCAUCAAGAGCAGCGCGUCUCCUUGUUUGAUAUCAUCUGAAGCUAGCCCAGCUGCUGGGCCCCAUCCGUCAGCCUCUGGGGCUGGCUUCUUGUCGGUGAGAAAUGUCCUCGCCCACCUGCUCCAGUCAGCGUCCAUGUCAGCAGCGUCCGGGCCCGUGCGUCCGUGACCCAGGCUGUCCUCCCCUUCGCAUUUGCUUCUUCCCGGAUAGGAUCGCGAAGUGGUGUGGUGAGAUACGACGAGAUCUCCGGAUGUCCCUCUGCAAGUUUUAACAGGCAAGCAUUUCCCCUAUACUUCUGCCCCUGCAGAAGUCGCUCACCUAUUUUAUUUUGCCUUCUCCCUCAUGCUAUCCUUAAGUUGCGUUCUUGUCACGUGUCCUUUCCACUUACCUCAAGCAGCCCAUAUUGCCACCACCACCU